CUGCGGGCCAGGCCCGUGUCCCACAUAGUCCUCGGAGCUCCUCGGCAGCGUCCACGGCCGCCCUGACCUUCUCCAGCCUUCAGAACCGCUCCGAGAGAGGUCGUAAGACUGGGAAAGUCUUCCUGGGACACUAUGUGGACAAGAGGGCGCAAACUAGAGAGCCACUGUGCCAGUCUGCUGGGUUAAGAUCCUGCUCCAGCGCGGAACCUACCAGGAAACGUGAGAGCCUGAAUCAAGCAGGUGGCGCUGGCCUUGUGAACUGUGCCUGGUUGCCUUGAGUUUGUUUUUUUGCGCAGGGACACUAUGGAGAGUCUUAAGCAGGAAGUGGUGACUGGUUUGUGUUCUCAAAAAAAAAAAAAAAAAAAAAAAAAAUCACUGGCAUCCUUGCGGUACGAAAAGAAACCAGAAGCGGGGAACUCUCCUUUUUAAUGAUGUCAUUUUUAUCUUCACCACAAGCCAAUAAACAAGUGAGACAGGCAGUGAAAGGUGAACACAGAACCGCCAACCAUUACAUUCCUAAGAGCUGUAAUUUACUCAUAACAGAAUCAGGUAUAAUAAUAAAACUUUUGGUUGUCGA